GAUGAACGCUGGCGGCGUGCCUAAUACAUGCAAGUCGAACGCGAGAGGAGGGAGCUUGCUCCCUCUGAUCGAGUGGCGGACGGGUGAGUAACACGUAGGCAACCUGCCCAUCAGCCGGGGAUAACUGCGGGAAACCGUGGCUAAUACCGGAUAAUCCUCUCCACCGCGGGGUGGGGAGUUGAAAGACGGUUUCGGCCUUCGCUGAUGGAUGGGCCUGCGGCGCAUUAGCUGGUUGGCGGGGUAACGGCCCACCAAGGCAACGAUGCGUAGCCGAGCUGAGAGGGUGAUCGGCCACACUGGGACUGAGACACGGCCCAGACUCCUACGGGAGGCAGCAGUAGGGAAUCUUCCGCAAUGGACGCAAGUCUGACGGAGCAACGCCGCGUGAGUGAAGAAGGGUUUCGGCUCGUAAAACUCUGUUGUUAAGGAAGAACGCCAGGUAGAGUAACUGCUACCUGUGUGACGGUACUUAACCAGAAAGCCACGGCUAACUACGUGCCAGCAGCCGCGGUAA
rnacentral:rRNA from 1 species